UAUUGGAAUUUAAAAAAAAACGAAAGCAUUUAUUAAAAAACAAAAAUGAGUUAAAAGUUCGAAUCGAACACAAAUUAAAAAAAAUAAUUGCACAUUUCCACCACCGAAUAAUUAUUGCUGCAAAAAAAAUUUAAUAACUGUUUUUAUCGGCACUAAUUUAGUCUUCGUUAUCAAUGAAGGUAAAUGAUCAUUUUACUGCAAGUGUAAUUAUUUAAAUGCACUGGGAACUGAAAGCAACGAAGCAGAAAAAAGGGUAAUGAUGAACAUUAAAACCAAAAUAUUCAACUGUCGUGACUCUCCUCUUGUAUUAAUUUGACUUGCAUAUAACUCGGGUUACAUAACUGUCGAAUUUUUAUCAUUUCUGUAAAUUUGUUUGAAAUUAUAACUCUUUUUUAAUUUAAAUAUAAUGUUUGAAAAUAGGUUUUUAGCUUUCAAUAUUCCAUCGUGAAAUUUAAUUAUAUAAAUGAGGGAAAUUAAGAAUAAGUGGCGCAACAGUCCAUGAAGAACCAGGGCCUAGUGACUUACAACUCUCAACCAUUUCUGUGAGCGAGUACUUCAUAUGGAAAGUUAAAUAAUUAAUUUGAACAAAAGCUGAAUACAGACAUUUGUCAGUUUUUUCAGCAAUAAAAUUGUUUUAAACGUGUUACAUUGAACUUAAAAUUUUCUGAUAACUAUUGAAAUGUGUUCAUAACGGAUUAUCCAUUUUGCACUUUCAAAAGUAUAGGGCUGGAAUUCAGCAUUUGUCAAACUAAGUUGUUAAAUCAUUUUUUUUUCAGUUGAAAAUCUGACAUUUACGAAAAUGGAUCGCUUAACUAUCGCACAACUCAUAAUAAUUGUUAAGAUUAUCAGCCACAUAUCAUGCUUUAAGAGAUUAUGGUUUACAUAAAAAAUAAUUGGAAAUUUGUGAAGAAAUUUGAAGAGACUGGAUUGGUUUUAUAUAUUGGAAGACCUGUGCAUCAUCGUUUCACUCGUACAACUGAAAAUUUUGCUGCUGUAACUGAAAUUGUUGCCGAAGAUACGAAUAUGCCGAUUCUUUGUCGUUUUCAAGAAUUAUUACUGUCUUACGGCACAUUAUAGCGUGUUUUGCAUUUGGAUCUACACCUACGUAAAUAUAAUAUCCAGCUCACACAAAAACUGAAACUAGCUGACAAUUCACAACAUCGUAGAUACGUAAUGGGCGCUUGAAUUUUGAAUUUUCUUCAGUGAAGAAGCACAGUUCUUACUGGGUUGGGUUUUGAGAACCUUCAAGUAAUUGAAGAGAGAAAAUUUCAUCCACACAAAGUCAAUGUUUGGUGCGCUCUUUGUAAUUGGACCAUACUUCUUGCAACACGGCGAUGUCGCCGUCAAUUUGCAGCGUUGUGGUGAUAUGAUAACCGAUUUAGUUUUCCUGCUAUUGAAGAAUACGAUUGGAGAACAUGUGGUUUUAACAAGAACUUGAUACAGAUAAGCCUUUCACUUUUAAGCACUUAAAAACCAACAUUCGUACUGUUAUGGCUGAGAUACCACCCAAUGUGUGCCAAAAAGUGGUCGAAAAUUACCUCAAAAGAAUCGUUGCUUGCAACAAUUGGGGUGGUGGCUAUUUAAAUGAUGUAGUGUUUCACACAUAAUAUCAACAUUCAAACUUUAUAAUACAAAAUAACGAACAAAAAAAUUGUAUAUGUGUUU